UACGUAGGGUGCGAGCGUUAAUCGGAAUUACUGGGCGUAAAGCGUGCGCAGGUGGCCGCGCAAGUCGAGUGUGAAAUCCCCGGGCUUAACCUGGGAACUGCGUUUGAAACUGGGAGGCUAGAGUGUGGAAGAGGGGGGUGGAAUUCCAGGUGUAGCAGUGAAAUGCGUAGAGAUCUGGAGGAACACCGAUGGCGAAGGCAGCCCCCUGGGCUGACACUGACGCUCAUGCACGAAAGCGUGGGGAGCAAACAGG
rnacentral:rRNA from 1 species